rnacentral:tRNA from 1 species
UAGCUCAGUGGUAGAGCAUCUGCUUUGCGUGCUGAAGGUCCCAGGUUCCAUCCCUGGCAA